AAGUCAUCCCCCUUUCCUCUAAGCUCGUUCCAUGGAGAACUCUUCUCACAAGCGGACGCGGGAGGCGGCCGACCUCGCCGCCGGAGGCUGUGGAGAGGAGGGCUCGCCGCAGGCCGACGCCAAGAGGCUGCGGCCGCAGGACCUGCUCGACAUGCUGGAGGACGACACCGACACGGCCGCGGUCGGCGACCUACCGUCGGUCAUGCGGAGCCUGUAGGAGGAGAUAGCUAGCUUCGACGAGGCCGCGGAGACGCCGGCGCCGACAUCGGGGCAGCAGCCAGAGCUGGGCUUCCUACUCGAGGCCUCGGACGAUGAGCUGGGGUUGCCGCCGACGGGCGCCGCCUCCUCUUCGUCGGAGGAGGCUGGGCGCGCGGGGGCACCGGAGCCCGCGCUCGACGGCCAGAUCUGGGGCUUGGAGGGCGGAGGUGCUCCUUUCCUUCUUGGCCGGCGGCGGCAUGGACUGGGCAGCGGCUUUCGGGUCUCCGUCGUGGAGCGCGGUGGCGACGGACCCUGGCCCGACCAUGCUGUCCUUCGCAGGCCCGUCCUCCUCCGCCACCGACGCCGAGGUGCGACUCCAGGAUUUCACCGUGGGUCGCAUGGAAGCGGAGGCGACGGUCGCGAGCAUCACGCACGGAUGGGGGCAGGCGAUAGCACGGCAUGCAGACGCCCAAGUCCAGCAAUGCUGGGGCAUCACGAGCGGGCGGGGGUACCGCGGCGUGCGUCACGGGGACGGGGCGGGCGCACGGGCGGGCAUCGCGAUGACGGGUGCGGGAGCAGGCGGGGGCACGCGAAUCACGGGAGUGGAGCCACGGUGGUGGUGGACGCCCUCGUUAGUGUCUUAUAGAGUAGUAGAGAUAGAGAUUGUAGGCGUCCACAAUUCCCAGUGGCGCACGGUUCUGCUGUCCCUCCAUCCUCCCGCGCUCCCUCCGUGCUACAUCAACGCCCGCAGGUUCUGCCUCUCCCUGUCACUACGCCGCCUGCCCCCGCCGCACCCCUCCCCGUUACUAGGUGCGGCGCCGCGCCGCGCCGCCUCCUCGGCCUCGCCUCCGCGCUCGCCGACGACUCGUCCUGCUCCGACCUCCUCCCGCUGUUCCCAGUCCCCGCCGGCUACGCCGCCUCUGACGCCGCGGAUCCCCGAUGCCGAGAGCUGCCCGUCGCCCGCUGCCGUCAGCAGCGUCUUCAGUAAGUUCCGCGACCCGGCGCCAUCUCCUGUGACCCCUGACGACGCUGCGGCGGCGCCUGACGAGCCCAGGGAUCUUGGCUUCGACGAUGACGACAGUUUCGACGCCGAUUCUAUUCUGUGCGGCGUCCACCAGAGCGCGGCCGAGGGCAUCGAUGGCAUCAUGGCUUCUGGCAGGAUCAGAAUAUCAUCAUCAAUCAAGCGCUGAAGCGGCAUAGUGUCGAUCCUGAAUGGUGGAUGUGCCCUGCCAUACCUGUGAAAGACAUUACCCCGGCACCACCGCCUUCAGUGGCAAUGGCGAAGGAAGACUAAGAAGAAGUCACUGGGGACAAUAUACGAGGAGGGGACUCCUGAGCCUGCCAAUGGCGACGACGAUGGAGCUUUGGCACUGCCAGAGACAGGAUUGGGGCUUAGCUUGAAUACUGAUGGGGUGCUCAAGGCGUGGUGUGGCAGAGGCUCUGCGUUUGCUGAUGGCAAUGGGCCUGACUUGCCAUUGUCCCCUGCUCAUGUGGUAGUAAGUAUUUCCAGCUUAUCUAAAGAUAUAAAAGAUCUUACAUUUCCAGUUAAAAAUUAAAGAUGGCUAGAGCUCUUGGAACCCUGAGUAGUACCUGCUAUUAGUUCAUAUCGUCUGGUAAGUAGAAUCUAUUUCACUUCAGUAGAAGUACAGAUCGUCUGUUGUUUUAUAUCAGCAGUGAUCAGAAAAAUCUUGGCAUGCAUUGCUUUGUUUCAGUCCCUUCGCAUUUCUUGUCAAUGGAAGAUUUCUCCCAGAAGAAAAUCUGUGUCUGAAAUUUGCUAAUAUGAAAUAGUACAGUAUGCCCACCAGUACUUGACUUUACUGGCUCAAUGGGCCAGGCAGAAGGAAAUUCCAAUUGGUUGUUUUCUUUGAGUUGAAUCAUUAUAACAAACUUAGCCCUCAUUAUGUUGUAUCUGCAGUUUUUGAAUUCAAUUGAAGUAAAAGGAAAUAUCAUAGUUUGGUCCUUUCGCGAAUUUUUUUUGUCCAAUUUUUUGUCCUUGUAGGUUUUUCCGUUGCAUUAGAAAACACUGUAGGCUGCUUCCUUGCGUUGCCUCUCCGUUUGCAGGAACAAGAGACCAGUUUUAUGUCAUAGACAUGAACUACUUUCCUGGUAUGUGGCUGCUUUCUUGCGUUGUCUCUCCGUUUGCAGGGAAGGGUGCUCCCAGCCCCCGUCAUGCCCCUUGGCCCCUCCCAACCCUCGUCGUCAUAACGGAGGGUGCUGCGACAAGCCAGCGGAUGAGCGUGGCGAUCCCGCUGGAGCAGUCCAUCACGCCGGUGCUUUAGGACUUUAUGAAUCUCAACAUAUGCUAUCUACCAGUGUAUUACUGUGGAGCCUCGUCGUCGACUCCCACGUCCAUGAGACCACCUAGGAGUUGCUCGUGUACAGCUAGCUCUACCAAUUCGAGGGAUACAUAAGUGGGAGGCGUCCACAAUUCCCAGUGGCGCACGGUUCUGCCGUCUCUCCGCCCUCCCGCGCUGCAUCAACCGACAAAGCUAAUUUAACCAAACAAUUACAAUAGCAGAUUUUAAAAAAUCUAUAUAUUAAGUAGGUGUAGGUGACUCACACGGUUUGAUUAUUUGCUGGACUCUGUACCAUGGUUUGUAGUUUGUACUACAUCCGAUGCAAGAAAGAAUAAAAUUAUAGUUCUGGAAU